AUUUUUUGUUGAAUACAGUGCAUUCAUAUUUAAAGUGUAUAUUUAUAAUAAUACGAUAAGAUAUUAUCAUAACGUUAUUGAAAAAUCAAAUAAAUCAUUACUCUCUGAUUCAAAAGUUAGACGGUCCGAUUUUUUCGAGGAUAGUUGACCCAUCAUAAAAUUAAACAUUGUCAGAUAUUCACGACGUAGGAUCGGUUGCUUACGUAGUAAAUAUUCGAAACGUAGUUUGUGAAUUUUUAUUCUUUGCGUUAAUUACUAUUAACGACGAAAGUUCAUUAUAUGCUAUUUUAAAUGAAGAACAACUGCAAUAUCGUAUGCCUUAAGUAACCGAAGAAGAUAAAAAAGAAAAUAAUGAACGAGAACUCGUCUCACAUGGCUGUUCGCAAAUAAGUGAUAAAAAGACUCCUGUGACAGACAUGUCAAACAUUAUGGUAAAUAAAAUUAAUCGAAUUCCGAGUACGUCAUCAAAUGUAACUCAGUGAUUUAGAAAAUAUCUUGUGGAGCUGAAGUUUGGAGACAAUUUUGAAGAAGAACAUAUUGCUCAAUGCGUUUGGUAGGAAGGUUUAUAUGGAAAAAGACGAUAGGAUUCAAUAGAGUAUGUUUUACCGUGCCAAAAUGAUAAUGGGAUAAUACGAUUAUUCCUUUCAUAGAUAAAUUGCAUGGCACCGUGCUCUUCAUUAUGAAAAAGAGUAAUAUUUUUUGCGUCUUCAACGAUAAGGAGUAAAAUGGAAUUUGGCAUCUGUAAGGAUUAAUUUAUCAUUUAUAUUCCAGUGUAGUAGGCAUCUAAUUAAAGUAAACUUCGAAAAAUACCUACAAUUUUAUGUAUAUUUCUGUAUGGUAGUCUAUUAACUUUUGUCCCAGAUAAUUGUAAAUAUAUAUUACGAACAUAGAUCCGAUAAUAUACAUACAUUUUUGCAAUCCUUCAUUCGUAUUCGUCAUAUAAGAAAAUAACUGAAACAACUGGAAAGAAAAUUUAUGCCUCUUUAAUUUCACAAAUAAAAGAUCCAAAAUUUUUUCUAUAUCAAUUAUUUACAUAAAUGUA